rnacentral:rRNA from 1 species
AUUGAACGCUGGCGGCAGGCCUAACACAUGCAAGUCGAACGAGUGGCGGACGGGUGAGUAAUGUCUGGGAAACUGCCUGAUGGAGGGGGAUAACUACUGGAAACGGUAGCUAAUACCGCAUACCAUCGGAUGUGCCCAGAUGGGAUUAGCUAGUAGGUGGGGUAAAGGCUCACCUAGGCGACGAUCCCUAGCUGGUCUGAGAGGAUGACCAGCCACAACGGUACAGGAACACGGUCCAGACUCCGACGGGAGGCAGCAGUGGGGAAUAUUGCACAAUGGGCGCAAGCCUGAUGCAGCCAGGCCGCGUGGUUGAAGAAGGCCUUCGGGUUGUAAAGUACUUUCAGCGGGGAGGCGGUACCCGGAGAAGGAGCACCGGCUAACUCCGUGGCAACAGCCGCGGGAAUAA